rnacentral:rRNA from 1 species
GCUCAGAUUGAACGCUGGCGGCAGGCCUAACACAUGCAAGUCGAGCGGUAGCACAGAGAGCUUGCUCUCGGGUGACGAGCGGCGGACGGGUGAGUAAUGUCUGGGAAACUGCCUGAUGGAGGGGGAUAACUACUGGAAACGGUAGCUAAUACCGCAUAACGUCGCAAGACCAAAGUGGGGGACCUUCGGGCCUCAUGCCAUCAGAUGUGCCCAGAUGGGAUUAGCUAGUAGGUGGGGUAACGGCUCACCUAGGCGACGAUCCCUAGCUGGUCUGAGAGGAUGACCAGCCACACUGGAACUGAGACACGGUCCAGACUCCUACGGGAGGCAGCAGUGGGGAAUAUUGCACAAUGGGCGCAAGCCUGAUGCAGCCAUGCCGCGUGUAUGAAGAAGGCCUUCGGGUUGUAAAGUACUUUCAGCGGGGAGGAAGGCGAUAAGGUUAAUAACCUUGUCGAUUGACGUUACCCGCAGAAGAAGCACCGGCUAACUCCGUGCCAGCGGCCGCGGUAAUACGGAGGGUGCAAGCGUUAAUCGGAAUUACUGGGCGUAAAGCGCACGCAGGCGGUCUGUCAAGUCGGAUGUGAAAUCCCCGGGCUCAACCUGGGAACUGCAUUCGAAACUGGCAGGCUAGAGUCUUGUAGAGGGGGGUAGAAUUCCAGGUGUAGCGGUGAAAUGCGUAGAGAUCUGGAGGAAUACCGGUGGCGAAGGCGGCCCCCUGGACAAAGACUGACGCUCAGGUGCGAAAGCGUGGGGAGCAAACAGGAUUAGAUACCCUGGUAGUCCACGCCGUAAACGAUGUCGAUUUGGAGGUUGUGCCCUUGAGGCGUGGCUUCCGGAGCUAACGCGUUAAAUCGACCGCCUGGGGAGUACGGCCGCAAGGUUAAAACUCAAAUGAAUUGACGGGGGCCCGCACAAGCGGUGGAGCAUGUGGUUUAAUUCGAUGCAACGCGAAGAACCUUACCUGGUCUUGACAUCCACAGAACUUAGCAGAGAUGCUUUGGUGCCUUCGGGAACUGUGAAACAGGUGCUGCAUGGCUGUCGUCAGCUCGUGUUGUGAAAUGUAAUCUUGGGGAUCC